ACUCAAUAGAUACCCGGGUAGUCCACGCCCUAAACGAUGUCUACUAGUUGUCGGGUCUUAAUUGACUUGGUAAACGCAGCUAAACGCGUGAAGUAGACCGCCUGGGGAGUACGGUCGCAAGAUUAAAACUCAAAGGAAUUGACGGGGACCCGCACAAGCGGUGGAUGAUGUGGAUUAAUUCGAUGCAACGCGAAAAACCUUACCUACCCUUGACAUGGAAGGAAUCCCUGAGAGACCGGGGAGUGCUCGAAAGAGAACCUUUACACAGGUGCUGCAUGGCUGUCGUCAGCUCGUGUCGUGAGAUGUUGGGUUAAGUCCCGCAACGAGCGCAACCCUUGUCAUUAGUUGCUACGAAAGGGCACUCUAAUGAGACUGCCGGUGACAAACCGGAGGAAGGUGGGGAUGACGUCAAGUCCUCAUGGCCCUUAUGGGUAGGGCUUCACACGUCAUACAAUGGUACAUACAGAGGGCCGCCAACCCGCGAGGGGGAGCUAAUCCCAGAAAGUGUAUCGUAGUCCGGAUUGUAGUCUGCAACUCGACUGC
rnacentral:rRNA from 1 species